rnacentral:rRNA from 1 species
UACGAAGGUGGCAAGCGUUACUCGGAAUUACUAGGCGUAAAGGGCAGGUAGGUGGUUUGGUAAGUCUGUUGUGGAAGCUCCCGGCUCAACCGGGAGAGGUCAACAGAAACUACCAGGCUUGAGUAUAGGAGAGGUUACUGGAAUUCCCGGUGUAGCGGUGAAAUGCGCAGAUAUCGGGAGGAACACCAAUGGCGAAAGCAGGUAACUGGACUAUUACUGACACUCAGCUGCGAAAGCUAGGGGAGCAAACAGG